UCAUCUCAUACACAACUGAUCCCUUCUUAAGGAUGGCAUCCCAUGGAAGAUAAGGAUAAGGAAAAGAUAGUUUCAGUUCAAUUUCAAAUGUUGGUUGAUCCUUAUCACCAAUUCAAAUUAAAUUUGAAUUAAAUUUUGAAUUAAACUUUAUUCUCAUCUUAUAAACUUAUUGAUAUAAAAAAUCUCAUGCAAAAAUACUUUAUGCGUGGAGAAAGGUGAUGAC
rnacentral:lncRNA from 1 species